UACGGGGGGGGCAAGCGUUGUUCGGAAUUACUGGGCGUAAAGGGCUCGUAGGCGGCCAACUAAGUCAGACGUGAAAUCCCUCGGCUUAACCGGGGAACUGCGUCUGAUACUGGAUGGCUCGAGUUUGGGAGAGGGAUGCGGAAUUCCAGGUGUAGCGGUGAAAUGCGUAGAUAUCUGGAGGAACACCGGUGGCGAAGGCGGCAUCCUGGACCAACACUGACGCUGAUGAGCGAAAGCAUGGGGAGCGAACAGG
rnacentral:rRNA from 1 species